AUAUCGCCGGUUUUAAUGACGUGCUGUUAUUAAGCCUUGUUAUAGAGGUUUAUAUUACAGGAAAAAAAAUGUUUAACACGACAGUGGUUCAGCACCUAUUUCGAAUAAAAUCACAUGACACUUUGGGACUUUUACUCUUGAUUCGUUCCUGUUCAGCUCUAAGGUAAGGGACUGUAUUAACACUGAUAAACUGUCUUUUUUGGGGGGAGAUGCUGUGCCAGUUUGUUUUGGCAAGGGAGAAUUAUUAACUCAUUCGUCAAGUCAAAAACUUUCUUUACAAGAUAUUCUAUGUGCUUGCCACUAGUGUUAAACGCGGCAUUCUGAUUAAUAUUGACAUUGUGGAAAAUGGGAAAACGAACGCAGUCAUUUUUAGCCGUCUCCGGGGGUGUUCAUUUCGUCCCUUGCUCUUGACCGAGCAUGACAUAAAAGAGACGACAGGCUUAGGAAACAACCAUCACGUGUUCUGGAUUUGGUCUUGUGACAUUCACAAGAUGAGAUUCUGACAUCACUGGCACCGUCAUGUCAUUUAGAGUCAAUGGCAAGUGGUCUUCCCGGAUGGAU